GAUUCUUAAUACUCCCUCUGCCCUCCAUCAAAGAAUGAUUAGGUCCACUGUUAAAGCCAAAUAUAACUUAUUUUAUACUCUUUCCUCUUAUUUGACAUUCUUAAUUUGCAUGAAAAUUAUACUUAACUCAGUUCAAUCAUUCAUUAAAAGACGGAGAUAGUACAAGUUUAUAUAUCAGGAUAAAAAAAACAAAUAUUGGCUUUUCACAAAGGGCUUAUUACGUAAAAUAUAGUGCAACAGACUAAACUAAAAGCUCAUAAUGGAAAAUUUAGCAAGCAACAAGUUAAAAAAACAGUGUGAGCAAAAAGAAGAUUUGGAACAUAAAUACUAACCACAAGCAGAAGUACCACUCUGAGAUGCAAUAUGCUUUGUUUGGUUGCAUCAUGAGUUUCUCCCAAUGCCUCAAGAGCCUUCAACAUAAGCAUCAACCCAUGGUGCUUUAUGGUCAAUUCCCCCAGAGCCCCAUCCAAUUCCAAAGUUAUCUGCAAUGCUCUUUAUUUUGGUCAGCUUCGGACAAACAAGCAUGCUCAAAACCUGUGCCCGGUGUCACGUCGAGCUUUUAUAAGCAAUUUCAUCAAUGGUCAAAGAGGCACCUCUAUUUGGCACAUAUUGGAACUUCAAACUUUUUCUUUAGUAAGUCGUUCUACCUUGUCUCAUUUUUACUCCGCAAACAACUUAAUGUGGUAUUAUUACUACUAAGACCAUAUACUGUGUGUGUGUGAUAGAUAAUAACAAUGCAACAGCAUACUCUGUGUGUGAUAGAUACUAACACAAUGAAACAAACAAUAUUUUAAAAGAAAUUAGAUUAUCGAUGCAGAAUUCGAUUUCAAAUCAAAAUUCACCUAUAAUAGGAAAAGAAAUCAAUUACGUAAAAAGAAACUAAAGAAAGUGAUAGCACCCAUCUGAUAUCAAAAUUUUACUUAAGCAUAAAAAAAACAGUUGAAAGAUAUAGUCAUACGCAUUUUGUAGCUGCUUUUAGUAUACAAGUUCAUACUUCACACCAAGUGCUCAUAAAUGGACGCUUUAGAAGCAACGGAAGGUUAUAUUAACAGAACAUUUACAUUUAGUGAAGUUUAAGUAACUCUGCCACUGAAAUCCAUAAGUGAGUAAAUAUUUAGCCCUACAAACAGCAAACAAAAGCAUAUGAAUUUUAAUUAAGAACAACAAGUAUUACCAAAAACAAAUUCUCAGUAAAACAAAAUUUAAAAAAUGCCCAUAGUUUCAAAUUUCAGAAUUUGAUUUUUUUACAUAUAUUUUGAAUGACUAAUCACUCUAAAUACCAAAUUAGAUAAACAAUGAUGAUUUAGCAGAAAUAGAGUUGACAGUACAUUAAGAUCAACAAAUGUAAUUUAACAUACAAAUGUAUCUGGUCAUUAGAGAUAAGGUAUAAAAAUCGAUGUAUUUCCAUGGGUUGCCCUCGUUCAGAAUAGCAAAUCAAACAAUAAAACCGCAGUCACAAUUAUAGGGAAAAGAAAAAGGGAAACAAUUAAUCAAGGAAUCACCAAAUUAACAUUUAAGAAAGAAUAAGAUGCAUGUCUAGAUCUUACUGCAGUGGGGAAUGCCGCCAAUUAACGACUUCUGCCGCUAGAUUCAAGUUUCUAAUUCUAGCCCC
rnacentral:lncRNA from 1 species